UACGAAGGGGGCUAGCGUUGCUCGGAAUCACUGGGCGUAAAGGGUGCGUAGGCGGGCUCUUAAGUCAGAGGUGAAAGCCUGGAGCUCAACUCCAGAACUGCCUUUGAUACUGGGAUUCUUGAGUUCGGGAGAGGUGAGCGGAACUGCGAGUGUAGAGGUGAAAUUCGUAGAUAUUCGCAAGAACACCAGUGGCGAAGGCGGCUCACUGGCCCGAUACUGACGCUGAGGCACGAAAGCGUGGGUAGCAAACAGG
rnacentral:rRNA from 1 species